rnacentral:lncRNA from 1 species
AUGGAAAUGAGCUGAGAUGCAAUGAGUUGAAAUGAGAUGAAAUGAUGAAAUGAUGAGAUGAAAUGAUGAGAUGAGAUGUGAUGAAAUGAUGACAUGAAAUGAUGACAUAAAAUGAGAUGAAAUGUGAUGGAAUGAGAUGAGAUGAAAUGAGAUGAAAUGAUAGAUGAGAUAAAAUGAUGAUAUGAAAUGAUGAGAUGAAUGAUGAGAUGAUGAGAUGAAUGAUGAAAUGAAAUGAUGAGAUGAGAUGAUGAAAUGAAAUGGUGAGAUGAAAUGAUGAGAUGAAAUGAAAUAGUGAGAUGAAAUGAUGAGAUGAAAUGAAUUGAGAUGAAAUGAGAUGAAAAAUGAUACGAAAAAUGAUAUAAAAAAUAUGACAUGAGAUGAAAUGAGAUGAAAAAUGAUACGAAAAAUGAUAUAAAAAAUAUGACAUGAAAUGAAAUGAGAUGAUAUGAAAUGAC